CAGUCGCCGCGGUAAUACGUAGGGUGCAAGCGUUAAUCGGAAUUACUGGGCGUAAAGCGUGCGCAGGCGGUUUGUUAAGACAGAUGUGAAAUCCCCGGGCUCAACCUGGGAACUGCAUUUGUGACUGGCAAGCUAGAGUGUGGCAGAGGGGGGUGGAAUUCCGCGUGUAGCAGUGAAAUGCGCAGAUAUGCGGAGGAACACCGAUGGCGAAGGCAGCCCCCUGGGCCAACACUGACGCUCAUGCACGAAAGCGUGGGGAGCAAACAGGAUUAGAUACCCCUGUAGUCCCUGUCUCUUAUAC
rnacentral:rRNA from 1 species